CUUACUCCGUUGGCAGGGAACGAUAUCCAGCCGAGCUCCGCCGUCGCCGUCCUUGUAUCCAUCACUGUCUCUGUCACACAAAGAAGACCAGACAAAGCGGGAGUCAGAGCUCUGAUGAGGUGGGAAUGACAAAUAAAGCAGCCUGUUGUUCUGCUGAUGCAGUGUAAAAGUCAUUUGGCUCAAUGACAACAAAGACGUUUUCUAGUAUUCCUGGGAUCCACACACCAGUCUUCACCUCCAGAUGCUGCACAAAGCUCACCUCACGUUUCCAUUCAGCACAGUAACAUAUUUUUAUGAUCCACGUCUUCGUGUUCCUACUGCAUCUCAGGUUGGA